ensembl:lncRNA
AACUAUAAUAUUAGUUAUGUAUCGUGUUAAAUACAUUCGAAUGAUGUAAAGAAAGAGUUUAAAUCGUAAUUUAUUUCAUUAUUUUGUAUUGUUGGUACCUGUCAUUUCAAAAGGAGAUGCUAGCAGGUGGAGGAAAUCCCUUUGAUUAGCGCCCUUGGAGAGCGGAUUGAGGUAUGAAGGAUGCAUGUGAUGUUUUAUUUGUCAUAGCGAUUUAAACAUAUUUCAUUUCACUUUGGCUAGUAUUUCAAAUGAUUUGUAUCGAGUGUAAACGUUAUUUUGUAUAAGUUAAUUGUUGAAACUACAUAGAAGCAUUGUGUAUUUCUUCUGUUUCAUUCUGUAGUUUUCACGGUGUUCACGGCGUCAUGGUGCUCGUCGAGAGAAACAAAAUAAAUCCGUUUGAACCUCUCUGCGUCUUGAUCAAUCAAUCCGAGGGGCCGCUGCACUCUCUCCUGUCCAUCCUCCUCUUCCUCCUCCUCCACCUCCUCCUCCUCCACCUCUCCUCACUGCCUCCAACCCAACCAUGAACAGAUUACAGAAUAAUUGCCGGAGAGUUUGGACGUGUCUUUGCACGGCGCCUCGUGCAUUUAACAGGUCUGAUGUCUGAUGGCACGUUGAUGGUUCUCUUUACACGGCCAUGUGUGUGUGUGUGUGUGUGUGUGUGUGUGUGUGUGUGUGUGUGUGUGUGUGUGUGUGUGUGUGUGUGUGUGUGUGUGUGUGUGUUCCUGAGACGUUGUACUGGUAUUAGUGUAGGUGUCCGUUUGCCUAAUUUUCUAUUUUUGUAUGUCAGUGAUGAAGUAUGUCCUCAUAUGUGUGUGUGGUUAAUGGAUCCUUUAGUCAGACAGAACUCUGGCAAAGCUCUACUGCGGCCCCUGCAAAGCGAUUAUCUGCCCAUACACUGUGUGUGUGUGUGUGUGUGUGUGUGUGUGUGUGUGUGCGAUGACUGGAAUGCCAGCUUUUUAAAUGGAGCUGCCACAACAUCUUUACGUCGGUUUGAUGUACACAUUCACACACAUAAUUACACUCAUGUGUGAUGACAACAGACCACAAUUUAAAUGUUGUCAGUUGGAACAACAUCGAGCAUCUCUAACUUCAUCCUGCGUCCUGUUUUACUACGCAAACUUUAGUCCUUUCCUGAGUACACUUUGUAGUACAGUACUUUGUACACCGUGUACUUUGUACGCUGUGUACUUUGUACACCUGACCAGGAGACCUGUUCACUUCCAACUUAUCGAAGUCAAACUGAACCAGCCGAUGCAACUUUUGACACAACACACAGCAUGUGCUGAAUCACAACACUGAUCUGAUUUUAUUCAUUUAAUUUAACGUAUUUAAAUUACAACCUUGAAUCCAUUCAGACAAAUUUAGUCCUGAUCCAAACUCUUUGGUUCAACUAGCACAAAUUAGGUUUGUAAUACCUGUAAUCACGUUACCGAAUGGCCCCUUAUAUCACGACGACGGGUUAAAAAGUCCCAAUAAACCUCUGCCCCCUGAAAGUCCACAAUCAGCGUUAAAUAAUGGCCCGAACAGAGUGUAGUCGGCCUUCUGCGAGGACGCACAAACACCAACACACACUCUCCUCUCAAUGGCCAGUUAAAUAAUGCCACAUGUUGCUUCCCCGCCUUUGUUUUAUUGCGAGGAUAUUUUUUUCUCUUUCUGCUUCCUUUGUUUGAUUGAUGGUCUAAUUUACUAGAAUAUCACACACACACACACACACACUGGCAGAUCCAAAUGUGUGUGGACGGGCUCAGUUACUGAUACUCUUAUAGUGUGUUUCAGGGUGACACGAGGAACCAGGACGCACAAAGAUCCUCCUUCACUCCAACGCGGCUUUUUGUUCUGCAGAAUUUACUCGGAUGCAAAUGAAGCAUCAGUCCGGUGGCCGACGUCUCCGCCAUGAGACGCUACACAUGAGGGACAAAAGAUACCCGGGUUUGCCAUUUGUAAUCUGGGGGGACUGACCCUUUAACUGCCCCCCCCCCCCCCUUCCCCCACCUGUCCAUCACCUCAGUCCCACAGCUUUUAAAACCUGGAACCCAUUGAGACGCAGCUCCGUGAAGGUCUCUUAAAGGAACACAUAAAGUACACAACGUGCGACAAAUGCUGCGGUUGUGUGUGUGAUUUAGGGGUUCGGUAAUAAUAACUCAUUAAACGUUAACCUUUGUGAUUACACUGCAGAUUGACCCGCUGUGUGUGUGUGUGUGUGUGUGUGUGUGUGUGUGUGUGUGUGUGUGUGUGUGUGUGUGUGUCAUCUUUUGGGCUGUUUUGUUAAGACGUUUAAAGUGUGAGAACAAAUGACAAACACAAAGAAAAAGAAAGCGCUGCUUAAAUGUUUGUGGAAGAUACCCAAGUAAAAUAUAUUUGUGUUCGGUCCAAUCACUAUAAAAACCUGCUAAACACACACACACGCACACACAGACACACACAGACACACAAGCUCCCAAAAACAACAUUUACAGUUCUUUGUCCGACAGGAAAACAGCAGAGCUGAGUAAACAAAAGUGUGUCAGACAAUAUGCUGAUGUUGCACUGUGUUUAAUGUGUGUGUGUGUGCGUGUGUAACGCAGACUAUGAACGACGCGACAUAACGUGUGCACAGGACACCACCGCACCAACUGUCUGUAACAAACGGAGACAUUUAAACACGUUUGAAAUGAUUGUCCACUGACCUCAAUUAACCCGACGUGGUUCAAUUAGAAAAGAGUCCGUUUGCAUUAAUCGUGUCGUCGUCUGUUAAUUUGAAGUGAAAGAUAAUUAUCUACGUAUAGAUUUGUAGACACACAGUCCACAGGGAACACCUGUGUGUGUGUGUGUGUGUGUGUUGCAGAAGUUAACUUCCUCCUCUUCCUCCCUAACAAGGAAAGGUCAAAGGUCGUGAUACAAAUGUAGGAGGCAAGAGGGAUGAAAGGAUAGAUUGUAAAAGGAGGCAGGGAAGGAGACUGAUUGGAGGCCAGAUGUGCAAUAAGGUCCAUAAAUAAGCGGCUGACGCAGAAACCUCCAAGCUUCCAGAACAAAGCCCGAGCACAAGAUUUCACAACCUUUGUCUCGUCCCUCUGUCCUCGUCUCCUCCGCGUCUCUCGUGUCCCCUCUAGUUUUAUUAGGAACGUCUCGCCGUCUUUCUCUGUCCUCCUGCGCUUCCCGCCUUGUGUGGUCGGCGUGGAGGCGCUGAGCAGCAGCACAUUCCUGUGUGUGUGUUUAGGACGUGGAAGUAAUGCGCCGCUUGCAUGUCGGGGACAGUGUGUCCCAUCGGAGACAAAGACCGGUCUGUUUUUGCCAGAUGCAGGUGUGUGAGAUAUGGAGGUGAUCAAAAAUAAAUCGGUGUGCGUGUGCGUGUGCGUGUGCGUGUGCGUGUGUGUGUGUGUGUGUGUGUGCGUGUGCGUGUGCGUGUGCGUGUGUGCGUGUGUGCGUGUGCGGACAUUCCUCUGAAUCAAAACAGCCUGUGAGGAUUGUGAGUCUGUGCAUGUUGGUUUUUCUGGGUGUAUCAAGAGAAAGAUUCACCUCAACUUGAAUGAAGCAACAAUUAAGUUAUUUUAUUAUGGUUUAAUAAAAAUCUAGUUUAAUAAAUCAAUCAACAUCCUCUGAUUCUAAUCAUAAGAUUUAAUAUUCCAACAUGGUUUGGAUUCCGUGGUGGACGACAAAGCUCCCGGGCGAAACGUGUUUCACGUUGUACUUUUCAUUUUUCAUCUUUGGAUCCGGAUCAGAAUAAUAUUACGUUAAAGGGAACACAAGCGUCUUGGGUGGAACUUUAUGAAACUGGGCACCUGAGCUGACUGGCCUGUUUAACUUCAUGUCACCUGAUCCACCGAGGGAAGACCUUCACAGGUGUGUGUGUGUGUGUGUGUGUGUGUGUGUGUGUGUUACAGGCUCCAUGCUCAUUACUUUAUCAGCAUCCCGUUUCCACCCACAGUCCUUCGCCUGUGACGCUUUCCGCUCCAUUUAUGAAGAUAUGAUUACAAACAUGAAGCUUCUCAACCUGCUGAGACCUGAACACAUGUGUGAGGCUUUUUAUGUCCACACCCAUUAAUAUUUCAAUGUACUUCAGAGCAAAAGUGACAAUUACUCACUCUGUACGUCUUGGAAUUACUUGUAAUCGACCUGAAUUAUUACAAUACAAUACACAUUUGAUGCAUGACUACUACGUUGAGGUACUCUGACUUAAGUAGAAUAUCAGUAAGAACAGCGUUGGUAAGAUGACGGACAGCCGGGAAAAGGAAACGCUGCAGCAUCUUCUCCUUCGUUACACCGAGCGCUGAGAUUCUGACUCCAGAGCGGCUCCACGCUAGAAGGUCCCACUGGAACCGCUCUGCGUGCUGGAGGUCUGGACCUUGUUCC